GACGAACGCUGGCGGCGUGCUUAACACAUGCAAGUCGAGCGGAAAGGCCACUUCGGUGGUACUCGAGCGGCGAACGGGUGAGUAACACGUGAGUAAUCUGCCCCUGGCUUUGGGAUAGCCACCGGAAACGGUGAUUAAUACCGGAUACGACCACUUCUCGCAUGGGAUGGUGGUGGAAAGUUUUUUCGGCCAGGGAUGUGCUCGCGGCCUAUCAGCUUGAUGGUGAGGUAAUGGCUCACCAUGGCUUCGACGGGUAGCCGGCCUGAGAGGGUGGCCGGUCACACUGGGACUGAGACAUGGCCCAGACUCCUACGGGAGGCAGCGGUGGGGAAUAUUGGACAAUGGGCGGAAGCCUGAUCCAGCAACGCCGCGCGAGGGAUGACGGCCUUCGGGUUGUAAACCUCUUUCAGCAGGGACGAAGCGCAAGUGACGGUACCUGCAGAAGAAGCACCGGCCAACUACGUGCCAGCCGCCGCCGUAA
rnacentral:rRNA from 1 species